GCCAGGUGUGGUGGCGCAUGCCUGUAGUCCCAGCUACUCAGGAGGCUGAGGCGGGAGGAUCGCUUGAGGCCAGGAGUUCUGGGCUGCAGUGCACUAUGUUGCCUGGGCGUCUGCGCUAAGUUCAGCAUCAAUAUGAUAACCUCCCGGGAGCAGGGGACCACCAGAUUGCCUAAGAAGGGGUAAACUGGCCACGGUUGGAAACAGAGCAGGUCAAAACUCCCGUGCUGACCAGUAGUGGGAUGGUGCCUGUGAAUAGCCACUGUACUCCAGCCUGGGCAACACAGCAAGACCCCAUCUCUA
rnacentral:SRP_RNA from 1 species